GACGGAGGGUGCAAGCGUUGCUCGGAAUCAUUGGGCGUAAAGGGUGCGUAGGCGGCUUGUCGCGUCGACUGUGAAAACCCGCGGCUUAACUGCGGGCCUGCAGUUGAUACGGGCAGGCUAGAGUUCGGUAGGGGAGACUGGAAUUCCUGGUGUAGCGGUGAAAUGCGCAGAUAUCAGGAGGAACACCGGUGGCGAAGGCGGGUCUCUGGGCCGAUACUGACGCUGAGGAGCGAAAGCGUGGGGAGCGAACAGG
rnacentral:rRNA from 1 species